rnacentral:tRNA from 1 species
UUUCCUCGGGCUCAGUCAGUAGAGCAUUGCGCUACAAACACAAAGGUCAUGGGUUCAAACCCCGGGGAAAG